rnacentral:rRNA from 1 species
CAGGUUUACCUGUGUGACUGCGUACCUUUUGUAUAAUGGGUCAGCGACUUAUAUUCUGUAGCAAGGUUAACCGAAUAGGGGAGCCGGAGGGAAACCGAGUCUUAAUUGGGCGUUAAGUUGCAGGGUAUAGACCCGAAACCCGGUGAUCUAGCCAUGGGCAGGUUGAAGGUUGGGUAACACUAACUGGAGGACCGAACCGACUAAUGUUGAAAAAUUAGCGGAUGACCUGUGGCUGGGGGUGAAAGGCCAAUCAAACCGGGAGAUAGCUGGUUCUCCCCGAAAGCUAUUUAGGUAGCGCCUCGUGAAUUCAUCUCCGGGGGUAGAGCACUGUUUCGGCUAGGGGGCCAUCCCGGCUUACCAACCCGAUGCAAACUGCGAAUACCGGAGAAUGUUAUCACGGGAGACACACGGCGGGUGCUAACGUCCGUCGUGAAGAGGGAAACAACCCAGACCGCCAGCUAAGGUCCCAAAGUCAUGGUUAAGUGGGAAACGAUGUGGGAAGGCCCAGACAGCCAGGAUGUUGGCUUAGAAGCAGCCAUCAUUUAAAGAAAGCGUAAUAGCUCACUGGUCGAGUCGGCCUGCGCGGAAGAUGUAACGGGGCUAAACCAUGCACCGAAGCUGCGGCAGCGACGCUGAUGCGUUGUUGGGUAGGGGAGCGUUCUGUAAGCCUGCGAAGGUGGCCUGUGAGGGUUGCUGGAGGUAUCAGAAGUGCGAAUGCUGACAUAAGUAACGAUAAAGCGGGUGAAAAGCCCGCUCGCCGGAAGACCAAGGGUUCCUGUCCAACGUUAAUCGGGGCAGGGUGAGUCGACCCCUAAGGCGAGGCCGAAAGGCGUAGUCGAUGGGAAACGGGUUAAUAUUCCCGUACUUGGUGUUACUGCGAAGGGGGGACGGAGAAGGCUAUGUUGGCCGGGCGACGGUUGUCCCGGUUUAAGCGUGUAGGUGUGUGUUCCAGGUAAAUCCGGUUCACUUUAACACUGAGGCGUGAUGACGAGGCACUACGGUGCUGAAGCAACAAAUGCCCUGCUUCCAGGAAAAGCCUCUAAGCAUCAGGUAACAUCAAAUCGUACCCCAAACCGACACAGGUGGUCAGGUAGAGAAUACCAAGGCGCUUGAGAGAACUCGGGUGAAGGAACUAGGCAAAAUGGUGCCGUAACUUCGGGAGAAGGCACGCUGACA